rnacentral:rRNA from 1 species
GAUGAACGCUAGCGAUAGGCUUAACACAUGCAAGUCGAGGGGCAGCAUGGUCUUAGCUUGCUAAGACUGAUGGCGACCGGCGCACGGGUUCGUAACGCGUAUGCAACUUGCCUCACAGAGGGGGAUAACCCGUCGAAAGACGGACUAAUACCGCGUACACUCCAUCUUGGGCAUCCAAGGUAGAGGAAAUGAAAUUCGCUGUUAGAUAGGCAUGCGUCGCAUUAGCUAGUUGGUGAGGUAACGGCUCACCAAGGCGACGAUGGGUAGGGGAACUGAGAGGUUGAACCCCCACACUGGUACUGAGACACGGACCAGACUCCUACGGGAGGCAGCAGUAGGGAAUAUUGGUCAAUGGGCGAGAGCCUGAACCAGCCAAGUCGCGUGAAGGAUGACUGUCUUAUGGAUUGUAAGCUUCGUUUAUACGGGAAAACCAAGAGUCACGUGUGACCCCCUGAAUGUACCGUAUGAAUAAGCAUCGGCUAACUCCGUG